AUUGGUCAAUGGACGGAAGUCUGAACCAGCCAUGCCGCGUGCAGGAAGACGGCUCUAUGAGUUGUAAACUGCUUUUGUACGAGGGUAAACGCAGAUACGUGUAUCUGCCUGAAAGUAUCGUACGAAUAAGGAUCGGCUAACUCCGUGCCAGCAGCCGCGGUAAUA
rnacentral:rRNA from 1 species